rnacentral:rRNA from 1 species
UUCGCAAUGCCCGAAAGGGUGACGAAGCGACGCCGCGUGGAUGAAGAAGGCCUUCGGGUUGUAAAAUCCUGUCAGGAGUUAAGAAAUGUAAGUUUGAUAAUACCAAAUUUACUUGACAAAGGCUCCAAAGGAAGCCACGGCUAACUCUGUGCCAGCAGCCGCGGUAAUACAGAGGUGGCGAGCGUUGUUCGGAAUUAUUGGGCGUAAAGAGCACGUAGGUGGAUUUGUAAGUCAGAUGUGAAAGCCUUCUGUUCAACGGAAGAAUUGCAUCUGAAACUACAAACCUUGAGUAUAGGAGGGGAGAGUGGAACUUCUGGUGGAGCGGUGAAAUGCGUAGAUAUCAGAAGGAACGCCGGCGGCGAAAGCGACUCUCUGGCCUAUUACUGACACUGAGUGUGCGAAAGCUAGGGGAGCAAACGGGAUUAGAUACCCCGGUAGUCCUAGCCGUAAACGAUGGGCACUAAGUAGAGGGGUUUU